rnacentral:rRNA from 1 species
UACGAAGGGGGCUAGCGUUGUUCGGAAUUACUGGGCGUAAAGCGCACGUAGGCGGGUCUGUAAGUAGAGGGUGAAAUCCCAGGGCUCAACCCUGGAACUGCCUUCUAGACUGCAGGCCUCGAGGUCAGGAGAGGCGAGUGGAAUACCGAGUGUAGAGGUGAAAUUCGUAGAUAUUCGGUGGAACACCAGUGGCGAAGGCGACUCGCUGGACUGAUACUGACGCUGAGGUGCGAAAGCCAGGGGAGCAAACAGG